GUGAAUUCUAAGGACCAUCCUCCUGUGGCUGUUGAGAAAAAUCCUAAUAGCUCAAAUGCUGGGAAAAUUUCUUUGGCUUGAUGAUAAUGAUGGAGACGACGAGGAUAACAAUACUGGCCAAACAUCAGGCUUUUCCAAACUUCUCAGCAGUUGCAUGGCAAGUUCACACCAUCUUCUGUUGGCAAGAUGUGGCAAACAUUGCAGCUCAGCGCUAAAAAAUGUGUUUUCUAGCAGAGCAUGAGUUUGCCCACCAGAACUGGUGGACAUUGCAAACUUCAGG
rnacentral:lncRNA from 1 species